UACGAAGGGGGCUAGCGUUGUUCGGAAUUACUGGGCGUAAAGCGUAUGCAGGCGGAUCGUUAAGUCGGGGGUGAAAUGCCGGGGCUCAACCCCGGGACUGCGUCCGAUACUUCCGAGCUGGAGGCAGGUAGGGGAGAUCGGAAUUCCUGGUGUAGCGGUGAAAUGCGCAGAUAUCAGGAGGAACACCGGUGGCGAAGGCGGAUCUCUGGGCCUUGCCUGACGCUGAGGCGCGAAAGCUAGGGGAGCGAACAGG
rnacentral:rRNA from 1 species